CGUAACGCCUGGUGAGCACACGCUUCCCUUUCCUCGAAAGCUUUUCCUUUUGAGCCUCUGAGGCCAGGUGGGUCCGGCUUUUGUGAGGGUCCGUUCUGGGUUCCUCGCCUGAUUUUCUGGAGAAGCUCUGUACUGCUGUCAAGCUGUGAAGCUUUGUGCAGAGUUUUGCUCAGAUAAGUCACUGUCUCCUCUCCGCUGAACAACAUUUUGGAUUGUAUCUUCAAAGUUCGCAUCUUGGAUGUGUUUUGGGUUCAAUUUGUGGGGAUUUUAGUACUGGGAAUCUGUGAGAGUUUAGCUGCAAUUGGUCGGGUUAAGCUUGAUCCCGGUGAUUUUCUGGGAUGCUUGUUAUAAUGGUUGGAUUGGUGCUUCUGUGAUGUGAAAGAUGCUCGCUUGAGGAUCUGAAAACUGUUGGAAGGAUCCCAAAAAGUGGGUGGAAUUUGCUUGAGCUGGGUCAAAAGAGAGAUGGGUUCGCUUCAUUUUGGCCCUCAGGGUAAAUGAAUUGUUUGGCAGGUGGCUAUGCUCUAUGCUCGCUUGAAAAGCUUAUAAAAUAGGGUUUUAAGUGAGAUAAGCUCGAGUGUCUUGAUUAAUUGUCUUUUGGGAAAAGCAAUGGAAGGGAAUAUGUCACAAGGAGGUAUGAUCCCAGGUAAUCCUGCAUAUGGAGGUCUAGAUUUGCCGAGAUCAAUUCAAAUCCACAGUCAAGCGCAACAAUCACACUGUCUUCAUCAGCAGCACCACUCUCAUCCUCGCCAAACGACGGGGGUCCACCCCUCAAUCCAUGAGGGUUUCCCACUUACAAUGGGAACGUUGCCUGGUUGCGAUCAGAUGAUCUCUGUGGGAGAUUUUAACAAAGGGGAGAGGUGCAAGAACUCAGCGAGCGAUGAUGAUGAUCCAAGCUUUACCGAAGAUGGUAUUGAUAGUCAUAAUGAUAUAAGCAAAGGGAAAAAAGGGUCACCAUGGCAACGGGUGAAAUGGACUGAUAAGAUGGUUAGACUUCUGAUUACUGCUGUCUCCUAUAUUGGUGAAGAUUCGGGUACAGAUAGUGGGGGCGGGGGACUAAGAAAGUUUUCUGUCUUACAGAAAAAGGGUAAAUGGAAGUCGAUUUCGAAGGUUUUGGCUGAGAGGGGUUUCCAUGUCUCACCUCAGCAGUGUGAGGAUAAGUUCAAUGACCUUAAUAAGAGGUACAAGAAACUCAAUGAUAUGCUUGGUCGGGGGACCUCUUGCCAGGUGGUCGAGAAUCCUGCACUUUUGGAUGUGAUAGAUUUCCUUAAAGAGAAAGAGAAGGAUGAUGUCAGAAAAAUUUUGAGUUCAAAGCAUUUGUUCUAUGAAGAGAUGUGCUCUUACCACAAUAGCAAUCGGCUACAUCUACCUCAUGACCCAGCCUUACAACGCUCUCUGCAGCAGGCUCUCAGAAGUAGAGAUGACCAUGAAAAUAAUGAUGUUAGAAGAAACAACCAUGAUGACUUUGAUGAGGAUGAUCAAGAUGUGGAUAAUGAUGAUCAUGACGAACAUGAGGAGAAUCACGCUUCUCAUGGCGAUGAAAGGGCAAUGUGUGGGGUUUCGAAGGCUUCUGCAAAGAGGAUGAAGCAAGUCCAAGGCCAUGAAGAUUUCAGUUUUGGGACUUCCUUGAAUGUUCAAGAGUUCAACAAAAGCUCCCAUUCCCAUUCUCACGUUGUGCAUCCUGAUAUGAAUCAAACUCUUUCAGAGAAUAGGACGGGUUGGUUACAGAAGCAGUUGAAUGAAUCUCGUUCACUUCAACUUGAAGAGCAGAAGUUACAAAUUCAAUACGAGAUGUUGGAGUUGGACAAACAGCGCUUCAAAUGGGAGAGAUUUUGCAGGAAAAGAGACCGAGAAUUAGAAAAGAUGAAGAUGGAAAAUGAAAAGAUGAAGCUUGAGAAUGAACGUAUGGCUUUAGAAUUGAGACGAAAGGAGAUGGGUGUUGACUUUAGUUAGACGGAUAGCCAGUUAGCAGAUGCUAGAGAUGGUGUCCUGGACCUUGGUGGGACGUUAUUGGAUUGCAAUCGACCUUAUGGCUUGUAUGCUGCUUGAUCAAAUCUAUCUGCUUCUCGAAGCAUCAAGUCGGGCUAUGGAGGACUUCUGUAAUCCAAUCAUAUCUAAAUUGCAAAAAAGAAGCAUUUAUGCUACAACUGGAAAUUAAUGGCGUUUUAUGUUGCCGGUGUUUCUGGAGAUUGAUGCGAGUUACGAUGUACAAAGAUGUGAAUACCCAGUUCUUCUCAAAAGUUCUAAGGCCAGACAACUGUUGCAAUACCGCUCUAGCUGUUAUUUCUCCUGAGAAUUCUCGCUUUUCUUU